UCUGAAUCUGACUUACGAUUGGCUAAAAAUAUAGGCCAAGCCUGUUUCCAUUUUGGAGUGUUUUAUUUAUUUAAAUGCCACAAUUUUGGGGCUGAAAUUCCAUGUGUAUUUGAUUUUCAGGAGAUACUGCUGGGGUAAACGCAGGUGAGCAGAGGUCCUUUGCUUAGAAAAGGCCCUAUAAUGAGUUAACCGAUAGCCAGGGAAGUGAGGAUUCCCUCCUGUCAGACUGUUUGUGGCUGUGGAGUUACUGCAGAUCAACACCAGGUGCAGAGAAUCAUGAGAAUCCGGGAUCUGGAACAAGAUUUUCUGUCAUCAUUGGGAUUUAAUUUAUUGAAAUGGAGGAUAGAAUCACAAUCAUGAUUUGCGAGUGGAUUUGAUUUAAAUUUCCAAUCAGCUGCUGUUAACAUACACAGUAUAACACCUUGGUUUCACAACUGACUUCAAUACCUUCAGAAAUAACACACUGAUACAAUGAUUUGGUGCUGUUUGUGAAAAUCUUGCUUGCACUGAUUCCCCACUGUUCAAUCCCCAAUGAACACUCCCAGCAUAUACUGUAUUGUUUAGGGAAUACUAGUGGCACUGACUGGAGAGAUUUACAUGAAUCUGUUUAUUCUGUAGUGACAUCAAAAGGUCAGAGAAACAGAUGGGAAUAUUGAUGAAGCCCAGCAAAAAGAUAACAAAACUUUACUGCAUCUUCUGAAGAACUAAAGUGCAAUUUUGUGAUAACUAUCUUCAUCCAUUGGUCCAGAAUCUUUGUAUCCGUUGAAAAUAAAGAGCUGUUUCUCAUGGAUUUUUUCCCCCCAAAAUAGUCACCCAGCUACCAGCUUCCUGCAACUUCAGGCUGACGACUUCCCUAAAACUCAAAUGGAUGAUCUCCUCACUCUCCCAGACAAGCCAAAAGUCCAGUUGCUGCUCCAGAUCCCUAACACGGUCCUAAAGGAGCUACAGCCGGAUGCACUUCACACAGAUGUGGUUAGCUGUUUUGACUGUCAAAGUGAACACAGAAAGCAUUGAAGACUUGUUGUCACUUCUUUUGAUUGUUUUCACUUUGUAGGAGGUGAUAGCACUCAAGCCCAGCCGUGGUCGACGAGUAUCCUUCGGUGAUUCAAGUUUGGGCUUGAAUUGCCACUUUGUACGUGAGAUGACUUUCUGGAGAUUGCACCUGGACUUCGUGUAUUUUUAUGUAGUCACCAGACCUGAAUGCCACUGAUAUGGCCCUCAGCACAUUCUGGAUCUCAAUGAAGUUUGUCAGUGACGAGCAAAGAAGAUGAAUUUCUAUUAUUUUUCUGCUGAACUAUGAAUAGAAAAUAAUGCAGUAACUUGUUCUGCAGAAGGAUGCAUAUUAAGAAGCAAUAUGUCAUUUCUACACUACAUUCCAGCUAAUGGCUGCUCAAGGCCCCACUUAGGUUCCCAGCCAUUCUCAGACGCCUCCCCCCCCCCCCCCCAAAGAGUGGAAGUGUUCAAUUGUAAACAAGAGAAAAUCUGCAAAUGCUGGAAAUCCAAGUGACACACACAAAAUGCUGGUGGAACUCAACAGGCCAGACAGCUUCAAUGGGAAAAAAGAGUACAGUCAACAUUUCAGGCCAAGAUCCUUCAGCAGGACUGGAGAAAAAAGGCUGAGGAGUAGAUUUAAAAGGUGGGGGAGGGGAGAGAGAAACACCAGGUGAUAGGUGAAU